rnacentral:lncRNA from 1 species
CCCUGGUCCAAGGAGCUGAGCUGUGGUGGUGCCUGGGAGCUGCCGCCUCAGAGGUAGAUGUGAUGCAGUGCCCUGCCCCCUGUUCAGGAGAACGGAAACAUCUGCUUUCGGAACCAGGCCUGUAAGAGCCGGUGCUGCCGCAAGGCAGAUGACUACUGCGAGUCGCACUGCACCAUGUUGGGGUCUGAGGGCAGCAAGUGUCAAACGCAGAUUUUCUUCGGCCUGUAUAAGGAGUGUCCCUGCCAAUCAAACCUGACUUGUAUAUUCCCGAAGAAUCAGAAAACAUUUAAACUCAUCUACGGCAGUUGUGAGAAAUAUGUAAAUCAGAAGACUCUUGAGAAAACAUGGUUCUAAUGCUGUCCUCCUCUGCGGCCCACCCUCCUGCCUACUCAGAACUCUGUGUUCCUGCCUCCGGCCCCAGAGCCUUGCUGGCAGGGGACAGGAGGGACAAUGAUGUCCCACUGCUGAAAUAAA